ensembl:lncRNA
AUCAUCCAAGACUCUCAGCCUCAUUGACACCAGGUCCUAAUUUCCUCUCUUUUUGUCAGUACCUGACUCCUUGAUGGAAAAAAAUGUCGCUUUGAUGAUUUAAAGAAGUGAAGGUGAUGUUGAUGGAAAACUCAUUGUCUUCCAGUUGCAACGGCUCCUUGUCAUCAGGACACUUUCUAGAGCAUUCCACCAGGGGGAGGUGGUGUAGCAUGAAUUCUGAGUGUUUUGCAUUUGGAACUGUUCCCUUGUUGCUCUUACUGACAGCAUGCUAAGUCAUGUCCGACUCUUUGUGACCCUGUGGACCAUAGCCUGCCAGGCUCCUCUGUCCAUUGGAUUCUCUAAGCAAGAAUACUGGAGUAGGUUGCCACGCCCUCCUCCAGGGGCUCUUCCUGACCCAGGGAUUGAACCCUUGUCUCCUGUGGCUCCUGCAUUGCAGGCGGAUCCUUUACACUGAGCCACGAAGGAAGCCCAUGAUAUAUACAAUAAUUGUAAAUAACCUUAGGACCUUUAGGUAUUAGGUCUUACAAUGUACUCUGGGGACAGAGGUAAAGGAGAACCCAGAAAGAUUUCUCGUUCAACCAAGGAAAGAUUUAAACCAGUGUUUCUCAAGCUUGAGUUCAGUUUGCCUCAGUUGCUCAGUCAUGUCCAACUCUUUGUGACCCCAUGGACUGCAGCACACCAGGCUUCCCUGUCCAUCACCAACUCCCAGAGCUUACUCAAACUCGUCCGUCGAGUCGGUGAUGCCAUCCAGCCAUCUCAUCCUCUGUCGUCCUCUUCUCCUCCCGCCUUCAAUCUUUCCCAGCAUCAGGGUCUUUUCCGAUAAGUCAGCUCUUCGCAUCAGGUGGCCAAAGUAUUGAAGUUUCAGCAUCAGUCCUUCCAGUGAAUAUUCAGGACUGAUUUCCUUUAGGAUUGACUGGUUGGAUCUCUCCAACACCACAGUUCAAAAGCAUCAAUUCUUCGGUGCUCAGCUUUCUUUAUGGUCCAACUCUCACAUCCAUACAUGACCACUGGAAAAACCAUAUCUUUGACUAGAUGGACCUUUGUCAGCAAAGUAAUAUCUGCUUUGUAGUAUGCUCUCUAGGUUGGUCAUAGCUUUUGUUCCAAGGAGCAAGCAUCUUUCAUGGCUGCAAUCACCAUCUGCACUGAUUUUGGAGCCCAAGAAAAUAAAGUCUGUCACUGUUUCCAUUGUUUCCCCAUCUAUUUGCCAAAGUAAUGGGACCAGAUGCCAUAAUCUUCGUCUUCCAGACCCUGAUGCUAGGAAAGAUUGAAGCCAGUAGGAGAAGGGGACAUCAGAGGAUAAGAUGGAUGGCAUAUAAAUCACCAGUCUCUUCUUAAAAUUUAGAUUCCUACUCUGUAGGUCCAGGGUGGGGCCCUGGACUCUGCAUUUCUAACAAGGUCCCAAGCGAUGCUGUUGAUUCAGGGACCAGACUUUAAGUUGAAGAGAUUUACCUUGUAAUACAAUAGUGAAAGUGUAUUUGCAGUCAAAACAGAGUUCUGUGCGAGAGUAGAGGCGACAACCAACUGCUUGGGGGACUACUUCACAGUAACCGUGACAUCUCAGUUGGGCCUUGAGGCUUGGAGAGGAGUGCAGGCUGCUCCACGCCCAGGAACAGUGUAAGCAAAGGCAGUGUUUGAGAAAGACUAGAAGCUGACACCUCCUGGGAGUUUGCUGUGUGCGGGCAUCGUGCUUGUGGCUUGUAUGCCAUAGAACUGGAAACGUUAACAGUUGAGAAUAGCAAGUCACUGGGGUUCACAGGGGGAUAUAAGAGUGGCAGGUAAUGGGUCUGUAAGGGUGGACUGGAACGAAUCUGUGAAGAGCCCUGAAUACCUUGCUCAAGAGUAUGUAUUUUGCAAAUGGCAGUUGCUUGUCUGUGUGUGUGUCUGAGUAUAGUGAAGAGCUUGUUAAAACCUCCCUCAUUUAAACAAGUAAUUAUGACUGAAUAGCUACAAGUAUGUUUAUGGUGGUAAGUAACAACUAUGUAUUAUUUAAGUAUAAUUGUUCCUUCUUAACCAUUCUUAUGGUAUUAAAUUGCUAUCCUAAUUGUUCUUUUUAAAUUUAUAAUUAAUUUGGUUAAUUUUAAAGUAAGUGAUACGUUUACAUUGUACAAAAUUCAAAGGGCAUAGGUGCAUAUUCAGUGAAAAGUUC